rnacentral:antisense_RNA from 1 species
GGUCGUUUCUCUUCGGGCCCAACACGAGCCCAAAAGCUUCCCAUCUUCUCCCAGAAGAUUAGCGGCGGGGGAGGCGGCGGCGACCGGCGGCGACAGGGUGGCCGGAUUUGCGGUCCCGUCUCCCUCUCCUGGGCUUCCGCCACCACCCGCGGGCGCUUCUCCUCCACCGGGAAGCCUGCCGUCGCGCGACGGCGACUCCCUUCGACUGUUCGACGCAAUGCCAGGGCAGGCCUGGUGGAGCGGAGGCGGAGCCGCUUCUUCGCUGCUUGAGGCGAGGCGUUCAGGGUGUUCGGCGAAAUGCUCGAGAGUCGCUUGUCCAGUCCUGGUCGGUGGCGACUUCGGCCGUCGAAGAUCUCGUGGGCGGCGACUGUGCUUCCGCUUCGUGAGCUUCUGAAGGACGCAUACCUUUUGGUAAGGAGCAAAAGACUCGUCUCUGUGAAAAGAAACACAGCUUCUGAAGAUUUGCAAGAUCCACUUUGCAGAUACUACAUGCAAAGCAUCAUUCCGAGAGGUGCAUAUAAUUUAGAGCAAUCAUCGGCAUCGUGGUCAUGGUGUGUACAUGCUCUGGAAAACAACAUAGCACGACUGGUGGGUGAUUGGGCUGCCAGUGGGAGCUGGCUUAUCAUUUGGGACACCACAGGGGAGACUGGUUCUUGUGUAGACAUGGUCUAUGGACUAUGGAACGGACUGAAGCCACACAGAUCUUCAGGUGCAGCACAAACUGGAGAAAUCCUUCGGCCAGAACAGAAACAGCAUAGGGAACACAAGAUGAUUACAGAAGAUCGGCUGCACAAAGACCAAUUCUAGAAACAGCAUAGAGGCCAUUUCCAGUUCAGACGACUGUAGUGCUGUACUGCUGUGCUGCACGUCGUACACGUCGAAGUCUGAAGAGGAUUGCUGCACUGCAGAUCAAUCAAUGAUUUUCCAAUUUUCGUCAAAACAAGAAACCAAUGAUUUUCCAGGCUCAUGGACACGGUCUACCCAGGCACCCAUCCGUAGACGUGCAAAAUUAUGAAAAACUGAUGGCGAUCUGGCGAUGAAUGAAUGAAUGAUUCGGACCGCCGCUACGUUGUUGCUGCCGACGCGUUCGUUGGCCGUGUGUCCGUGUCUCGGUCUGCAGUCUUCAGUGUCUCAGUCCGAUCGGAAUGAAAUGGAAUGGAGGAGAUGGCGGUGUGAACUGUCCUUGGUAGUGGAGUUGUGGAUUGGCUCGUAUACGACAAAUGUAUUUGGAUAUUUGGCACUUGUUAUCGCUGGAAAAAAUAUAGUCAAGUCGUGUACGAGGAAAACUGCAUGCUACUACCAUACAUACGAAGGAUAUCAAGUUCUUGACAUUUUGAUAUGGAGCAUAGCAAAACUGUUCUAGUUCUCGUUUGAAAUGCGAGAAUGUGUUCACAAAAGGCUGAUUCAUUUUAUUUAAAAUUCACGCAAUAUUCCUCUGUUCGAAGGAAAGGUCUUGUUGUGUUUUUCUUUUUCUUUUUUUUUCUUUUCUAGUGCAGGCUGAUCUGCUGUGCUGAGUGCAGACCGUGGCAGAAGUGAUUUACUUUUCCUUGUAUAAGGGGGUGUUUAAAUCCGGGGUGUAAAGUUUUAGCGUGUCACAUCGAAUAUUAUAUAAGGUAUCGCAUGUGGCAGAGUUUACAUUACCGGUUGACCACUAAAUUUCGAACCCCAUCGGUAUCACCGUUUUCGAUAAAUUUUGAUCGGUUUUUGAU